AUGGCCGCCGACAGCAACCGGAAGGCUCCCUGCGGCAAGCCUCAGUUCCUCAAGGUGCUCUUCACGGACUUCAUGGAGAAGAUGCCGAUCCCGGCCAAGUUCAUGCGGCGGCACCUGGCAGCGGAGCCCGGGCUCCGGCGGGCCACCCUGAUGAGCCCAUUGGGCAAAUUCUGGCACGUCGACGUGGUCCGAGACGGCCACGGCGGCGACAGCGACGUCUACUUCGCCGGCGGCUGGGCCGAGUUCGUGAGGGCCAACAGGCUGGAGGAGGAGAACUUCCUGGUGUUCAAGUACGAAGGGAACAUGGUGUUCACUGUGAAGGUGUUCGAGACGUCCGGGUGCAUCAAGAACUACGACGACCUCGUCGUCUCCGGCGCAUUGUUAGAGCAGGCAGCACCGAGGAAGCGGUCCAGCACUGGCUGUGGAUCGCAGCCUACGUCCAAGGGCCAUGGUGGUACACAUGCUCAGAAAACCAGGAAGGUCAGUGACAGGAGCCUUACCGGUGAUGGUGUCAUACAGGCAAAGAAGCAGUACAAACCUCGCAGGAUUCUGAUGGAAGACAAUGAUGGCGAGCAAGAUGCCACCACAGAGAAGUACGCCCAAGCGGACACCCACUCCGGCAUCGCAACGGAGGCCAAGGAGUCCGAGUACACCGGCACCCUCCCUUUCUACGCCAAGACGGCGACUCCUUGCAACAUUCGCUACAGCUACAUGGCAAGUUCUUUAGCUGGUUCAAAAUCAAAUCUAUACUCUCUAAACAUCGGGAAGAAGUUCUGCGUCAUGAACGGCAUCGCGACGAACCGGCUGAUGAUACUCAAGGACUCGGGCGGGAGGUCGUGGCCCGUGAAGCUGACGCUGACGAGCGACCAGGCGCGCAUGAAGGCUGGGUGGGGCCACUUCUCCGGCCACCAUGGGAUCAAGGUCGGGGACCUCUGUGUCUUCCACCUCGUCGACGAGCACACCUUCAACGUCAGCAUAAGGCGGGCCGAGUAA
rnacentral:rRNA from 1 species